rnacentral:lncRNA from 1 species
UCUCUCUCUCUCUCUCUCUCUCUCUCUCUCAUUUGCAUGAUUCCACUUCGACACUCUCUUCUCUCUUCUACUAUCUCAGGAGGCGUGGUGAUUGUUUACGAGAGGAAGGUGAAGCUUCUUUACGGUUCGCUGCCGCUAAACUUCAUUCCCAAGUUUCUACAUCCUGAAUCGAGAAUUGCAGUAACUAACGCGAUUUUCUUCAUGCUCUUGUCCGUAGAUGACGUCUCGCGUCUUCUGGUGAAUCUCCUCGGCAGUCAGCCCCCCUCAGUUUCUAGAUGUUUCAAUUCUAUUUCAAUUUUUUCCUCCCCUGCUUUGCCGUAGCCCUGUUGUUCUCGCUAGGAUUCAUCUUUCUCCACUCAGACUGUUCUUACGCUGCUAUUCCUCAGGUGGAGAUCAACGAAGCAUGGAAGGUGAAGUCCGUCUCAGAUCCCACCGUCCUCCCCAGGGGCAAAACCCAAGCCAGGUAUCAUCCUAACCACAUUCUCCCAUCAGAUUUCCCUGUUUCGGUCCAUCCAAACAAUUAAGAAACGUCGGAAACGGUACCUUCAUGGCUUGCUACGAUCUAUCCGGAAACAUCCGAAAGCGCGGGGUGGAUCCCGAAGUCGGCUCGAUCGACGUGAUCCCCUCGCGCUGUAUCGGUGUUCCUGUUCGGAGCGGAUCUCAAUUAGCAGUCGGCCAAUCGGCACCGCAGACGCUGCUCUGCGUUUCUCCCCACUCGAUCUUGGUCCUCCUCGAGCGCUGCAUCACCGCCCAUGGAGAUCUGAUGGCGACG